rnacentral:rRNA from 1 species
AUUGAACGCUGGCGGCAUGCCUUACACAUGCAAGUCGAACGGCAGCAUGGAAGAGCUUGCUCUUCUGAUGGCGAGUGGCGAACGGGUGAGUAAAGCAUCGGAACGUACCGUGUAGUGGGGGAUAACGUAGCGAAAGUUACGCUAAUACCGCAUACGAUCUACGGAUGAAAGCGGGGGAUCGCAAGACCUCGCGCGAUUGGAGCGGCCGAUAUCAGAUUAGGUAGUUGGUGGGGUAAAGGCUCACCAAGCCAACGAUCUGUAGCUGGUCUGAGAGGACGACCAGCCACACUGGAACUGAGACACGGUCCAGACUCCUACGGGAGGCAGCAGUGGGGAAUUUUGGACAAUGGACGCAAGUCUGAUCCAGCCAUUCCGCGUGCAGGAUGAAGGCCCUCGGUUGUAAACUGCUUUUGUACGGAACGAAAAGGUUUCUAUUAAUACUAGGAGCUCAUGACGGUACCGUAAGAAUAAGCACCGGCUAACUACGU